AUCUUUCUGAAUCUGUGUAGUGAUUUUGUCAGACACCAACCCAUUAGGGUUGACCACACUUUCAUGAUAAGUGAAGUU
rnacentral:pre_miRNA from 1 species